GGUUUUACCGUGAGCUUUUAAUAGAAAAAAAAAAUUAUUUUGUGGAGUUUAAAGUUUGGGGUAAAAUGGUCAUGGUUAUAGGCAUGGUCAGAAAUUAAAAUGGCGUGUUUCGUCAACUUGAGAGGUGAGGAGUGAAGAGAGUGAAAAUACUGGGAUUUAAAAAGAAGAAAAAGAGGAAGAGAGUUUUAGUUUAAUAAAAUUGAGAGAAACGAGGAAGCAAGUCUGGUAUCGAUUUUUAAAAGUUUUAUAAUACAUUUGAGUAGUGAGGACUUAGCCAAGUUUUUCUGCAUACGCGGUCUUUGUGUUUUGGAAAAUACUUUUUUUUAGUUUAAAAAAGUCGGCGGGAUUACAAGGAUGUAAUCAUAGCCUCCCGUAACUCCGAAAGUAACCACUGCAAACGCUUCAGUCAAUUUGAUUUCCCCUACCAUGGCUUCACUCAGAGCGAAUAUACCGUCCUAGUGUACAGC